GUGAUUUAAAUACUUGUAACUUCUCACGAAGUUCAAGUCCCUUCACAUCCACAUACACCCUGUGCUCUUGAUAACUGAAUGCGUAAAAAACAUUCGGUUUCAACCCCCCUUUUUAUAAACUCAGUAUAAUGAAUGUAAACAAGUUUUAAUAAACAUAAUA
rnacentral:misc_RNA from 1 species